rnacentral:tRNA from 1 species
AAAAUUUUAGUUUAAAUUAAAACGUUUCAUUUACAUUGAAAAAUUUUAUUGUUAUAAAAAUUUUA